GGGCCUACGGGACGCAGCAGUGAGGAAUAUUGGUCAAUGGCCGGGAGGCUGAACCAGCCAAGUCGCGUGAGGGAAGACGGCCCUACGGGUUGUAAACCUCUUUUGUCAGGGAGCAAGGGGCGGGUCGAGACCUGCUGUGAGAGUACCUGAAGAAAAAGCAUCGGCUAACUCCGUGCCAGCAGCCGCGGUAAUACGGAGGGUGCGAGCGUUAUCCGGAUUUAUUGUGUUUAAAGGGGGCGCGGGCGGAGGCACAAGUCAGCGGUAAAAUCGCGGGGCGCAACCCCGCUCCGCCGUUGAAACUGUGU
rnacentral:rRNA from 1 species